UUGAUAGGUUAAGAGCUGAUUAACUGGACGUUACCCACAGAAGAAGCACCGGCUAACUCCGUGCCAGCAGCCGCGGUAAUACGGAGGGUGCGAGCGUUAAUCGGAAUUACUGGGCGUAAAGGGUGCGUAGGUGGUUGAUUAAGUUAUCUGUGAAAUUCCUGGGCUUAACCUGGGACGGUCAGAUAAUACUGGUUGACUCGAGUAUGGGAGAGGGUAGUGGAAUUUCCGGUGUAGCGGUGAAAUGCGUAGAGAUCGGAAGGAACACCAGUGGCGAAGGCGGCUACCUGGCCUAAUACUGACACUGAGGCACGAAAGCGUGGGGAGCAAACAGGAUUAGAUACCCUGGUAGUCCACGCUGUAAACGAUGUCAACUAG
rnacentral:rRNA from 1 species